rnacentral:rRNA from 1 species
GACGAACGCUGGCGGCGUGCCUAAUACAUGCCAGUAGAACGCUGAAGGAGUAGCUUGCUUCUCUGGAUGAGUUGCGAACGGGUGAGUAACGCGUAGGUAACCUGCCUGGUAGCGGGGGAUAACUAUUGGAAACGAUAGCUAAUACCGCAUAAUAGUAGAUGUUGCAUGACAUUUGCUUAAAAGGUGCAAUUGCAUCACUACCAGAUGGACCUGCGUUGUAUUAGCUAGUUGGUGAGGUAACGGCUCACCAAGGCAACGAUACAUAGCCGACCUGAGAGGGUGAUCGGCCACACUGGGACUGAGACACGGCCCAGACUCCUACGGGAGGCAGCAGUAGGGAAUCUUCGGCAAUGGACGGAAGUCUGACCGAGCAACGCCGCGUGAGUGAAGAAGGUUUUCGGAUCGUAAAGCUCUGUUGUAAGAGAAGAACGAGUGUGAGAGUGGAAAGUUCACACUGUGACGGUAUCUUACCAGAAAGGGACGGCUAACUACGUG